rnacentral:rRNA from 1 species
CCUACGGGUGGCAGCAGUGGGGAAUAUUGCACAAUGGGCGCAAGCCUGAUGCAGCCAUGCCGCGUGUGUGAAGAAGGCCUUCGGGUUGUAAAGCACUUUCAGCGGGGAGGAAGGCGGUGAGGUUAAUAACCUCAUCGAUUGACGUUACCCGCAGAAGAAGCACCGGCUAACUCCGUGCCAGCAGCCGCGGUAAUACGGAGGGUGCAAGCGUUAAUCGGAAUUACUGGGCGUAAAGCGCACGCAGGCGGUCUGUCAAGUCGGAUGUGAAAUCCCCGGGCUCAACCUGGGAACUGCAUUCGAAACUGGCAGGCUAGAGUCUUGUAGAGGGGGGUAGAAUUCCAGGUGUAGCGGGGAAAUGCGUAGAGAGCUGGAGGAAUACCGGUGGCGAAGGCGGCCCCCUGGACAAAGACUGACGCUCAGGUGCGAAAGCGUGGGGAGCAAACAGGAUUAGAUACCCGUGGAGUC